UCUUCUUCAUUCGUCUCCUCGUUACCUCGUGGCAGGAUGUGUCUUUCGAGAUUCCGUUUUGCUUGGCGCAGCCCUGCUGCCUCUUGGGUUACCUGAGAUCUCUUUCAUUGUCCCAUGAGAAUGGGAUACUUUGGAUUGAAGUUUUCUCAAAUUCGCUCGCCAAGCUGGCAAAGAAGCUGUGAACUCUUCUGUUCCGAUUACUGUAUCUGAAGCCAACACUGCCUGAAGUACUUCACGCCAGCUGAUCUCGCUCGCUCUCCGAACUUAGCCGAUUGUUCCUGGCCACGUGGUACCCACACCAUCCUGGAGAUCGGUGAUGUCGAUUGCGCUAAGAAUGUAAACGGCUGGGAAUAAAUACUGUCAGCAAGCCUUGCACAAUUGACAACGAGGGCUCCGCCGCCAUGUUUUUCUUCUCUGGGUCGGAUUCUCUUCGCACGUGACCUGGUUUGGAUAAAUACUGUCAGCAAGCCUUGCACAAUUGACAUCGAGGGCUCCCCGCGAUGUUUUUGUCCGCAUCGGAUUCUCUUCGCGCGGGACCGGGUGAGGGUGGUCUUUCAACGUCAACCUGACCUUGCCAAAUGCUUCCAGAUUUUGCUGGUCUCCUGCACUUGGUGACAGUGUCUGGGCGCAUUAUCUCUUCAAGAGGUGUCAAUCUCAUCCUCGGAGUCUCAUUUUCGGCAUUCUUCAUUCAUAUGUGCCCUUUUCUUCCUUUGUUUGGCUUGCCUCCUCAAAUGUUAUGUAUUUUCACAUAUUUCCUGCACGAUAUUGUCGCAGUUACAAACUACCAUUGGAUUCAGUUUAUGGCUCCUGUGAAAACCCAGAAACAAUGACUGAGCAGUUUGUGAA